GGCAGAGGCAAGGUGGAACCCUCUGGGCUGCUCACAUCAUCAGCUUCAGUCUCUGCAAAGAUAAGUCAUUCAUUGCUGAGCAUGUCUUGGCUCUGUAAUGUCACCUGAGUCACUUCAUGAUCUCAUGAUGUGUAGAUGGCAAGAACCUGGACACAUUCCACAUAGCCAGGUACUCAUAUGACUCUUCUCUUGGUUACCUCAAAGGUCCUCCGAACUCAAGCCUCUGACUGAGUUUUCCCAAAGUGUGUCCCAUUUCCAGAAAUGGCAACACCAUCCCAUAUAGCGGGUGGGGAAACCAAGGCUAAGGAGGAGAGCGGACUUGCAUGGGAGAAGCUGAGAAGUCCCUCCAAGCUGGCCUCUUGGCAAUGGGAGCAAAGCCUUUUAGCAGAUGAAGAAUGUCAACAUUUCCUCUGCUGACUAGGGUUUAGAAGAAUCCUUAGAACAAGCCUAAGCCCUGAGCCAAGCAAUUCAAGUUACCAAAGCCAGAACGGUGGGCAGGAGAAAUCGGCCCAAAGGAUUAUGGGAGAGCCCCACUCCACGCAAAUCCUAGGAGAAACUUGUGGAAGAAUGCAGAGAACAGGCAAUAAAGUUCCUAGUUAUUGAGAUAACAACAAA